rnacentral:rRNA from 1 species
UUCUGGUUGAUCUGCCGGACCUGACUGCUAUCGGAUUGAUACUAAGCCAUGCGAGUCUUUGUAGUAAUACAAGGCAUACGGCUCAGUAACGCGUAGUCAACCUACCCUAUGGACAAGAAUAAUCUCGGGAAACUGAGCAUAAUUCUUGAUAGAUCAUAAUACCUGGAAUGGUUUAUGGUUAAAAUGAUUCGUCGCCAUAGGAUGGGACUGCGGCCUAUCAGCUUGUUGGUGAGGUAAUGGCCCACCAAGGCGAUUACAGGUACGGGCUCUGAGAGGAGAAGCCCGGAGAUGGGUACUGAGACAAGGACCCAGGCCCUAUGGGGCGCAGCAGGCGAGAAAACUUUGCAAUGUGCGAAAGCACGACAAGGUUAGUCCGAGUGAUUUCUGCUAAAGAGAUCUUUUGCUAGUUAUAAAACCACUAGUGAAUAAGGGGUGGGCAAGUUCUGGUGUCAGCCGCCGCGGUAAAACCAGCACCUCAAGUGGUCAGGAUGAUUAUUGGGCCUAAAGCAUCCGUAGCCGGCUCUGUAAGUUUUCGGUUAAAUCUAUACGCUCAACGUAUGGGCUGCCGAAAAUACUGUAGAGAUAGGGAGUGGGAGAGGUAGACGGUACUCGGUAGGAAGGGGUAAAAUCCUUUGAUCUAUCGAUGACCACCUGUGGCGAAGGCGGUCUACCAGAACACGUUCGACGGUGAGGGAUGAAAGCUGGGGGAGCAAACCGGAUUAGAUACCCGGGUAGUCCCAGCUGUAAACGAUGCAGACUCGAUGAUGCAUUGGCAUAUAGCCAGUGCAGUGUCGCAGGGAAGCCGUUAAGUCUGCCGCCUGGGAAGUACGUACGCAAGUAUGAAACUUAAAGGAAUUGGCGGGGGAGCACCACAAGGGGUGAAGCCUGCGGUUCAAUUGGAUUCAACGCCGGAA